rnacentral:rRNA from 1 species
GACGAACGCUGGCGGCGUGCUUAACACAUGCAAGUCGAACGGAAAGGCCCUGCUUUUGUGGGGUGCUCGAGUGGCGAACGGGUGAGUAACACGUGAGUAACCUGCCCUUGACUUUGGGAUAACUUCAGGAAACUGGGGCUAAUACCGGAUAUGAGCUCCUGCUGCAUGGUGGGGGUUGGAAAGUUUCGGCGGUUGGGGCUGGACUCGCGGCUUAUCAGCUUGUUGGGGGGGUAGUGGCUUACCAAGGCUUUGACGGGUAGCCGGCCUGAGAGGGUGACCGGUCACAUUGGGACUGAGAUACGGACCAGACUCCUACGGGAGGCAGCAGGGGGGAAUAUUGCACAAUGGGCGGAAGCCUGAUGCAGCAACGCCGCGUGCGGGAUGACGGCCUUCGGGUUGUAAACCGCUUUCGCCGGUGACGAAGCGUGAGUGACGGUAAUGGGUAAAGAAGCAACGGCUAACUACGUG